rnacentral:rRNA from 1 species
GGUGGUCGAGGAGAGGGGAAAGGUCGUGUUGGCGACACUCUCUGGGAGGGACAACAAGGAGACGGACGAAGGGGUAUUGUAAGGUGGAGGGGGAUAAACUUCAAUCAACGACGUUCUAGACCUGAUGAUAAGUUCUGUUGAGGUUGGGAAAAAACUACAGUAAAUAGAUACGGAAUUUUAAUAUGUACAUCUACGAGUUCAUCCUAGAGAUGGAAAGACAUGACUAAAAUAUGAGGUAUCAUUUUUUUUAGGGUAAUAAUAAUCGUAUAUCAUGUAUAGACUAUUGUUUCAUUGUUUUAUGUCGGUUGGUAAAACAUAAUCUAUAACUGUUAACCUACAUCACGUCUUUACACUCAUCUCUUAGUAAAACGACGUGUAUUCAAAGUAACCAUAUUGUAGUUAGACUAAUUAAAACCGUGAUACACGAUUUUUAUAUAGAUGUAACAGGACACAAUCUACAACUACUUUAAGUUUUGACCAGCUUCAAUUGACAAUGACCACACUAAACGAUUCUACUCAUUUUAUGUACGUCUGUUCUCGAUCUUUAGUUAAAGAGUAGACUCUACUGAUCAACAUCAUAUAAAUACACCAACGAUUGACUCGUAUACGUACGUGUACAGACUUGACUCUUAUAUUAAUUCGAGAAUAAGGACUAAUCGAAUCUUGUUUGUAAAUACUACGAGAAACAAUAUUACAUUAUCGCUCGAGAAACAAUAGAAUGUACAAGUAGUUUGAAGUUCUUCUCUCACGCCAGUACACCGAAGCCUCGCUUUACCUACUCAACGGAUGGAUCUUCUCCCUACGCUACCUUGACUUCACUACGUACGGACAGCAACGCUUUGACUUUGAUACGACCCUUCGUCUUUGGCUUAAAUUCACUACAAACACAACGUGGGAUCCACAGCAACCAUGUACGACUACGUACGGACACAAACUGUAUACUACAAAUUUGAUACUAGACUAGCACAACAUACCGGAAACUACAAGAAUCAAAUCUACGGUAACUAGAAUUUCUAAUACUAAACAACGAAAAUCAUCAUGAACUACUAUACCGGUGACUACGAAGUCGGACAAGUUAUCAUUUCUAGCCUAAAAAUGGU